UUGAUUCAUAAAUGUAGCCAAGAUGCAACGCGGUGGUCGACGGCGGCGGCCUGCUCCCAAGUUGCAGGUGCGUGCAUGGACAUCUUCAUGAUUACUGAUUAUAAGAUCUUCAUGAUUACUGAUUAUAAGUGAACACACGUAUCUUCUCUCGAGGUUCUGAGUGUUGAGAGUGGUUGCUCAUUGUUUCUGUAUUCAAAUACUGAUGAAUCAACACUUCCAAAAGAUAUACUGAUGGCCAAAGAAGAUUGGGGAAGUUCCACUAUGUUCCUACAGACUGUUGGCCAAAAAAGAUUGGGGGAAAAUAGCUCUGGAGAAGGAUUGAGAUGAAAAUGGGAUUGGGA